AUGAACGCUGGCGGCGUGCCUCAUACAUGCAAGUCGAGCGAACGGACGAGAAGCUUGCUUCUCUGAUGUUAGCGGCGGACGGGUGAGUAACACGUGGAUAACCUACCUAUAAGACUGGGAUAACUUCGGGAAACCGGAGCUAAUACCGGAUAAUAUUUUGAACCGCAUGGUUCAAAAGUGAAAGACGGUCUUGCUGUCACUUAUAGAUGGAUCCGCGCUGCAUUAGCUAGUUGGUAAGGUAACGGCUUACCAAGGCAACGAUGCAUAGCCGACCUGAGAGGGUGAUCGGCCACACUGGAACUGAGACACGGUCCAGACUCCUGCGGGAGGCAGCAGUAGGGAAUCUUCCGCAAUGGGCGAAAGCCUGACGGAGCAACGCCGCGUGAGUGAUGAAGGUCUUCGGAUCGUAAAACUCUGUUAUUAGGGAAGAACAUAUGUGUAAGUAACUGUGCACAUCUUGACGGUACCUAAUCAGAAAGCCACGGCUAACUACGUG
rnacentral:rRNA from 1 species